CCCCCCCCCCCCCUCUUUAUUUUUCUGCCAUGUCCUAAAUAGCAUUAGCAAGUAGCUUGAACCCUCUAAGUUCAAUGAGUGGAUCAGAUAUAAGGAUUUCAACGAGGAUGGUUGCCAAGUGGAGUUGUGGUGAUGGUGAUGGUGAUGCCAAAUGGAGAGGGUGGAAGCAGAGGUUUUGAUGGGGUCGACAAUUGUGUGCCGCAGAGUUGUGGCUGCUGGUUGAAGAUAUGGUGAUGGUGAUUUGCUGUUGAAUCUCAGCAGGCUCGAAGAUGAGUAGGGUUCAACAACUCUGUAUCCCCUGCCCAUGUAGAUGAUGAUGAAGAAUCCAUCUUUCAUUAGACUUGUUUCUUUCAGGGUAUAGGUCAGUAGUAUGAAUAAUGUUUGAUGGUAUCCACAAUUACAUCAAUUCCAAAAAGAGCUCAAGCUAAGUUUAUCUUAUGCUUUGUCAAACCAGUUCUCAUGUGACUACAAGGCUUAUAGACAAUAACCAAAACUUUGGGAAGUCAUCAUUGUAAUAUUACAGGUAUUGCUAUUUCCUGCUCCCAAGCAAGUUGUUAAUUUUAAUGUUUUUUUUUUCUCGCUUCAAGUGCUUCAAAUAUGAGGAAAUCGUUUCUUUAAAUCUAAAGCAUUUUCAAUGUCUUUCAGCUAUAUUAGUUGUC